rnacentral:rRNA from 1 species
GACGUAGGGCGCGAGCGUUGUCCGGAUUUAUUGGGCGUAAAGAGCUCGUAGGCGGCUUGUUGCGUCGUCCGUGAAAACCCGCAGCUCAACUGCGGGCUUGCGGACGAUACGGGCAGGCUGGAGUUCGGUAGGGGAGACUGGAAUUCCUGGUGUAGCGGUGAAAUGCGCAGAUAUCAGGAGGAACACCGGUGGCGAAGGCGGGUCUCUGGGCCGAUACUGACGUGAGGAGCGAAAGCGUGGGGGAGCGAACAGG